rnacentral:lncRNA from 1 species
UUCCUUCUGAAUGUUAACAGCUGGAGGUCCAUACUAUCUCCAAGGAUUUGAUGGCCUUUAAAAACUAAAGAAAAACCAGAUUGCUGCUAAAAUUGAUUCAAUUCCUCACUUGAAUAAUUCCACACCUCUAGUGGACCCCUCAGUAUAUGGAUACGGAGUACAAAAACGGCCCUUGGAUGAUGGAGCGAUGGGAUCACACUCUGCUCAGGCUAGAGUGCAGUGGCGCCGUUGAACUCCUGGGCUCGAGUGAUCCUCCCACCUCGGCUUCCCAAGUAGCUGGGACUACAGGCAUGAGCCACCAUGCCUCCUAGUACGUUUUUAAAUCCUCCAGUUCAUAGACUUGUUUGCAAAUCUCAAUGUCCUGAAUAAACCCUAUGUUAAGGUUCUUUUUAGUUAACUUAAGAGUUGAAGUAUUUUAUUUUAUUUGUAAUUUUUGUGAGUGCAUAGGUGUAUAUAUUUAUGGGGUACAUGAGAUGUUUUGAUGCAGGCCUGCAAUGUGAAAUAAGCACCUCGUGGAAAACGGGGGUAUCCAUCCCCUCAAGCAUUUAUCUUUUGAGUUACAAACAAUCCAGUUACUCUCUUUAUUUUAAAAUGUACAAUUAAGUUAUUGUUGGCUAUAGUCACCCUGUUGUGCUAUCAAAUAGUAGGUCUUAUUCGUACCCAUUAACCCCCCUCCCCCCUGAGUCCCCUUAGCCCCCUACUACCCUUCCCAGCCUCUGGUAACCAUCCUUCUACUCUCUAUGUCCAUGAGUUCAACUGUUUUGAUUUUUAUAUUGCAUAAAUAAGUG